rnacentral:rRNA from 1 species
AACGAACGCUGGCGGCAUGCCUAACACAUGCAAGUCGAACGAGACCUUCGGGUCUAGUGGCGCACGGGUGCGGAACGCGUGGGAAGCUGCCCGUGGGUUCGGGAUAACAGUUGGAAACGACUGCUAAUACCGGAUGAUGACUUCGGUCCAAAGAUUUAUCGCCCAGGGAUGAGCCCGCGUCGGAUUAGCUAGUUGGUGAGGUAAGAGCUCACCAAGGCGACGAUCCGUAGCUGGUCUGAGAGGAUGAUCAGCCACACUGGGACUGAGACACGGCCCAGACUCCUACGGGAGGCAGCAGUGGGGAAUAUUGGACAAUGGGCGAAAGCCUGAUCCAGCCAUGCCGCGUGAGUGAUGAAGGCCUUAGGGUUGUAAAGCUCUUUUACCCGGGAUGAUAAUGACAGUACCGGGAGAAUAAGCCCCGGCUAACUACGUG